CGGCGACCAAAAUACGACGUAAAUCUGACGUUAAAAUACCGAUGUCUAAUAGACGUUUCUUUUUGACGUCGUACUAACGUCGGGUUAUGGUCGGUGUCCUGACGGUAGGUAAAAAAAAUAACAAAAAAUAAUCCUUAUUCGCUGUUGUAAUCAUUUAAACUUUUUUUCAAAUGUUAUUUGGACUACAAUUGAAGUGUUCUUAUAUAAAUACAGACCAAUAUCGCGGCGCUGCAACCUAAUAAAACAUAAAGGUGGCGCUGUAUAUACGCAAGUUACAUGUGUUAUUGUUAUGAAAUCUAUUUAUAGCUACAGAUCUGUUUACAAGUUCCAAUCAUUUAACGUUGUAAUAUUAUCAUUUGUGGUACAUUAUUAUUAUCAUUUGUGGUAUCAAAAUGACGAGUUUUUAAUAGUGCUUUAACAUUUAAUCAUAGUGACAGAAAAGGGAAAGAAAACAUAAUUAACCUUUAAUUCGAAUCUAAAGUCACGUGGAUGGAAAUUCAAAUUCGUAGGCGUUACGUUUUGGCUGUCGGUCAGGAAUCGGGAUGCAUUGAUAAGUGAAUAUUAUAGGUUUUCUUGAACUUUUAGGUAGUUAAAGUGUUGGACAUGCUCUCAAAGGUCGGAGGGCCGGAAACACGUGAUUAUGUAAAAAGAAACAUAUGAAAUGAAAAUGAUGUCACACACGCUAUUGGGCGCUACAAACGCUACAUAUCCUCCGGACAGACGAGGGGUGCUGAAAGAAGGUCAUAUCUUAAAGCAUCACACCUCAAAAUUCGUGCUAAUUCUCAUGGAUAUCUAAAAGUAUAACUUUGUGAAGUAACUAAAAGGCAGCAAUUUAUACAUUACUGACAAUUAUCAAAGGAGGUCAAAAUAUGCAAAAUGGCACUAAAUGUUUUAGAAAUGCUGUAGAAA